rnacentral:sRNA from 1 species
UCCUAGCCCCGAUUGCAACGGCAUCCUUUUGUGAAGCGCAGCGGAACAAAAGAUAUAGUGAAAAGCGGGAAAUAGC